AAAGUCGUAACAAGGUUUCCGUAGGUGAACCUGCGGAAGGAUCAUUAACGAGAGUUGCCCUUUUCUGGGCAAACCUCCCACCCUUUGUGUACCUUUACCCUGUUGCUUUGGCAGGCCCGUCCACUCGGACCGCCGGCUCACGCUGGCCCGCGCCUGCCAGAGGACCAACCAAAAACUCUUGUUUUACGUGUCGUCUGAGUGUAAUAAGCAAUGAAUCAAAACUUUCAACAACGGAUCUCUUGGUUCUG
rnacentral:misc_RNA from 1 species